UACAGAGGGGGCAAGCGUUAUUCGGAAUUAUUGGGCGUAAAGGGCGCGUAGGCGGCGCGUUAAGUCGGGUGUGAAAGCCCUGGGCUCAACCCAGGAAGUGCAUUCGAAACUGGCGCGCUUGAAUAUGGAAGAGGGUCGCGGAAUUCCCGGUGUAGAGGUGAAAUUCGUAGAUAUCGGGAGGAACACCAGUGGCGAAGGCGGCGACCUGGGCCAAUAUUGACGCUGAGGUGCGAAAGCGUGGGGAGCAAACAGG
rnacentral:rRNA from 1 species